UACGUAGGGUGCGAGCGUUGUCCGGAAUUAUUGGGCGUAAAGAGCUCGUAGGCGGUGUGUCACGUCGGCCGUGAAAACCUGCAGCUUAACUGUGGGCGUGCGGUCGAUACGGGCAUCACUGGAGUUCGGCAGGGGAGACUGGAAUUCCUGGUGUAGCGGUGAAAUGCGCAGAUAUCAGGAGGAACACCGGUGGCGAAGGCGGGUCUCUGGGCCGAUACUGACGCUGAGGAGCGAAAGCGUGGAGAGCAAACAGG
rnacentral:rRNA from 1 species